GCUGGGCGUGGUGGUGCAUGCCUGUGGUCCCAGCUGCUCAGGAGGCUGAGGUGGGAGGAUCACUUGGGCCCAGGAGGUCGAGGCUGCAGUGCGCCACUACAGUCUAGCCUGGGCAACAGAGCAAGACCCUGUCUCAA
rnacentral:SRP_RNA from 1 species